UCUAUGAAUAUCACAGAAACCUGAAUCAGGCGGAGCGCUGGUGUCUAUCCUUUUGUUAUUUACGCUUCGUCUCGCUCUAUCGAGACGAUAAAAAUGUGGAAGUGUUUCGGCUUACGAGCCGAGUUUUGG